CCUACGGGCGGCAGCAGUGAGGAAUAUUGGUCAAUGGGCUUACGCCUGAACCAGCCAAGUCGCGUGAGGGAAGACUGCCCUAUGGGUUGUAAACCUCUUUUGUCAGGGAGCAACGCCGGCUACGUGUAGCCGGACUGAGAGUACCUGAAGAAAAAGCAUCGGCUAACUCCGUGCCAGCAGCCGCGGUAAUACGGGGGAUGCGAGCGUUAUCCGGAUUUAUUGGGUUUAAAGGGUGCGUAGGCGGACUGGAAAGUCAGCGGUAAAAUCGAGAGGCUCAACCUCUUUCCGCCGUUGAAACUGUCGGUCUUGAGUGGGCGAGAAGUAUGCGGAAUGCGUGGUGUAGCGGUGAAAUGCAUAGAUAUCACGCAGAACUCCGAUUGCGAAGGCAGCAUACCGGCGCCCGACUGACGCUGAGGCACGAAAGCGUGGGUAUCGAACAGGAUUAGAUACCCCAGUAGUC
rnacentral:rRNA from 1 species